CUCUCAGCUUGGCCACGCCUCCAAAUCGGUGUGAUCACGCCUACAUAUCAUCGUGGCCACGCCCCCUUGUCUAGGCCACGCCCCCAAAGCAAUGUGACCACGGUCUCCGCGACUCUGCUGACUGAGGAGGCGGUUGGCGGGAGUGGCGCGAGAGGGAACGGGGGUUUACGGUGCGGGUGGGGGAAGAAGGAAAUUGGGCUCUCCCGCUGCUCUGUGCCGUUCGGCAGGGUGGGGAAUGCUGCUCCAGGCGAGGUAGAUGUAGGAUUUUUCUGAUCUUUGGAAACAUCUUCAGUCAUCUGUCAGGAACAAAGGCAAAGCAGAAAAUGGCUGAGCAGCCAAAACUACUUCGUAGACCUCUACCUCCUAAGCUGCCAUCUAAACUGUCUACACCAAGGGAGAAGGUUGGUAAAGCAGGCAGGGGUUUUGGACAAUACCGAGCUAGAGUGGUGAAGAGUACAAAUGAUAAAAUGGAAAAGCUGUGUCUGACAGUUUUGCCAGUACUCAAGGACAAAUCAAGCAGACAGAUGUUUCCUUCAGCCAUGGUCACGUUUCCCAGAAUCCGGUGAAAACCCAGCCUAAAGAUACAUUCCUGUCUGUUCAUCAGAUUUGCCAAAAUCAAACACAAAUCCAACUCAAAGAUCUCCUUCAGUCUCAGUACCUGUCUGGCAGUAUCCAACCCCAGUCUGACCACAUUUCUUCUUGUCCAAUACAUUUCCAACACCAACAUGUAUGUCAGCUUAAUCAAGACAGUAAAUAUGGGCAAACACAGAUCCAGUCCAAAACGACAGGUUUUCAUGACCAAAGGAGAGUUUUAAUUCUGUCUGAAACAAGUUUCCCCGCAGAAGAUGUGAAGCAGAAGAGUGAUCUAGUUUUUAAGAAUAAUAAGUCUGCACAUUGGUCUUUACAAGGCAAUACUGCAAGCCUGGUUGGUCAAUAUGAAAUUAUUCCUAUCUGUUCAAGCAGACCAAUGCCAAACCAAAGCAAAGAGAAAAAUGUGUUUUCUGCCC